rnacentral:rRNA from 1 species
UGAUGCUUACAUGCAAGUCUACUUGAAUUCACUUCGGUGAUAGUAGGGUGGCGGACGGGUGAGUAACACGUAAAGAACUUGCCUUACAGUUUGGGACAACUAUUGGAAACGAUAGCUAAUACCGAAUAUUAUGAAUUUUCCGCAUGGAAGAUUUAUGAAAGCUAUAUGCGCUGUAAGAGAGCUUUGCGCCCCAUUAGCUAGUUGGUGAGGUAACAGCUCACCAAGGCGACGAUGGGUAGCCGGCCUGAGAGGGUGAACGGCCACAAGGGGACUGAGACACGGCCCUUACUCCUACGGGAGGCAGCAGUGGGGAAUAUUGGACAAUGGACCAAAAGUCUGAUCCAGCAAUUCUGUGUGCACGAUGACGGCCUUCGGAUUGUAAAGUGCUUUCAGUUGGGAAGAAAGAAAUGACGGUACCAACAGAAGAAGCGACGGCUAAAUACGUGCCAGCAGCCGCGGUAAUACGUAUGUCGCAAGCGUUAUCCGGAUUUAUCGGGCGUAAAGCGCGUCUAGGUGGUUUGAUAAGUCUGAUGUGAAAAUGCGGAGCUCAACUCCGUAUUGCGUUGGAAACUGCCAAACUAGAGUAUCGGAGAGGUGGGCGGAACUACAAGUGUGGAGGUGAAAUUCGUAGAUAUUUGUAGGAAUGCCGAUAGAGAAGUCAGCUCACUGGACGAAUACUGACACUGAAGCGCGAAAGCAUGGGGAGCAAACAGGAUUAGAUACCCUGGUAGUCCAUGCCGUAAACGAUGAUUACUAAGCGUCGGGGGUCGAACCUCGGCACUCAAGCUAACGCGAUAAGUAAUCCGCCUGGGGAGUACGUACGCAAGUAUGAAACUCAAAGGAAUUGACGGGGACCCGCACAAGUGGUGGAGCAUGUGGUUUAAUUCGACGCAACGCGAGGAACCUUAUCAGCGUUUGACAUCCUAAGAAUGAGAAAGAGAUUUUUCAGUGCUCCUUCGGGAACUUAGAGACAGGUGGUGCAUGGCUGUCGUCAGCUCGUGUCGUGAGAUGUUGGGUUAAGUCCCGCAACGAGCGCCCCCUAUUGUAUGGCAUCAUUAUGGGCCCCAUGGCGAUACUGGCGCCGAGCAGGAAGUGGGUGACGUCAGCAUCCGACAGAGUACGA